ncrna:unclassified sequences engA RNA
GCCCUGACUGUAUGGAGGGUGUACUCUCUCGUUAUCGAGAGGGCCGAAGAAUGUAACUUCAGUAAUUAAACAAACAC